GGGCCCGCACAAGCGGCGGAGCAUGCGGCUUAAUUCGAUGCAACGCGAAGAACCUUACCUAGGCUUGACAUACAGCGUUUACUGGCAGAGAUGUCAGGUCCUUUAGAGGGCGCUAUACAGGUGGUGCAUGGCUGUCGUCAGCUCGUGUCGUGAGAUGUUGGGUUAAGUCCCGCAACGAGCGCAACCCUCGUCCUAUGUUGCCAGCGGGUAAUGCCGGGGACUCAUGGGAGACUGCCGGGGUCAACUCGGAGGAAGGUGGGGACGACGUCAAGUCAUCAUGCCCCUUAUGUCUAGGGCUGCACGCAUGCUACAAUGGCCGGUACAGAGGGCAGCGAAACCGCGAGGUGGAGCGAAUCCCACAAAGCCGGUCUCAGUUCGGAUUGGGGUCUGCAACUCGACCCCAUGAAGUCGGAGUC
rnacentral:rRNA from 1 species